CAGGACAAGUACAAUGCAGGCAGUGACAGGGCGAGCUUUACCUAUACCACCCAGUCCGUAUGUCUCAACUCUGACCUGGAGGGACCACCUCUAGA
rnacentral:sRNA from 1 species